GGCGAGGUGGCCGAGUGGUUAAGGCGACAGACUAGAACUUGGCAUCCGCCGCUUUCCAGAUUAUCUGUUGGGUUCGCCCGCGUAGGUUCAAAUCCUGCCCUCGUCG